AACGAACGCUGGCGGCAGGCUUAACACAUGCAAGUCGAACGCCCCGCAAGGGGAGUGGCAGACGGGUGCGUACCGCGUGGGAACAUACCCUUUUCUACGGAAUAGCUCUGGGAAACUGGAAUUAAUACCGUAUACGCCCUACGGGGGAAAGAUUUAUCGGGGAAGGAUUGGCCCGCGUUGGAUUAGCUAGUUGGUGGGGUAAAGGCCUACCAAGGCGACGAUCCAUAGCUGGUCUGAGAGGAUGAUCAGCCACAUUGGGACUGAGACACGGCCCAAACUCCUACGGGAGGAAGCAGUGGGGAAUAUUGGACAAUGGGCGCAAGCCUGAUCCAGCCAUGCCGCGUGAGUGAUGAAGGCCUUAGGGUUGUAAAGCUCUUUCACCGAUGAAGAUAAUGACGGUAGUCGGAGAAGAAGCCCCGGCUAACUUCGUG
rnacentral:rRNA from 1 species